rnacentral:rRNA from 1 species
CACCGCGGUUAUACGAUAGGCCCAAGCUGACAGAUUCCGGCGUAAAGGGUGGUUAGGUGAUUUUUAAAAUAGAGUUAAACGCCCACAGAACUGUUCAAAGUAUCCGAGGGUCAGAGAAUCGUCUACGAAAGUGGCUCUACUAAACUGAAACCACGAAAGCUAAGAAA